rnacentral:rRNA from 1 species
UCUCAUCGAAUCUGCGAACCGCUCCGCAAAACAGUUGUAAGCCAAGGCUAGUUUUGCCCCUUUCUGCAGAGGAUGCAUUACGCUUUACAGCGGGUCUUGAUCUUCCUCGCUAUUGUAGAGCGGGGCAAAUACGGAUAUUCUCGGUAAUUCUGAGACUAAUACGUGAAUUAAUAGAACCUCGCUCCUAGCCUUCCCGUAAGGGAUAGCGAAGGCGAGGGGUGUGUGGAUAUACCAAAGGUCCCUACGGAUCCGGAGAGAACGCACGCUCUGACUUAGCGUACCUUCGCCUUUAAACAGCGUGGGGGGAGGCUUACGUCGACGCAUUCGGGCGCUUCAGUGGGCUUGCUCGGUCUUUUCUAAGGCUGAGCUCCGCUUUUUGUCGCUGUUCAGGCUUGCUCUCGGUGUAUGCGCCUUAGCUAAGCCCUAGGCAGGCGCUUCUUACCUAUCAACCAGAUGGCAGCACAAGAGACAUGCCAUAGUCGCAACGGGUACAGAGGAUUAGAGUUCGAUCCUGGAGAGUGGGCCUGAGAGAUU